CAAGGGAUGCCGUAAACAGGAAGAGUUCAAGAAUGUUCAAUUUUCAAAACGAGAUGGAACUCAUGAUAAGGAUGGCGAGGGAUCUCAAUCGGAACAAUUUGAUGUAGACAGCAUUGCCAAGGUGUCCACUUACUCUGAAAUUGGAGGACAUCAAGUAUACCAAAAUGAUCCAGUCAAUGGCGGGGAUGACCGAAAGUACGAGUUCUUGGAAGGGCGUUCUAAUCCAAACGUUUACGAAGAACUUCAGUGUACAGAGUCUGGUGACAGAGGGAGAUAUGCCAACACCGAAGAUGCUUGUGACGAUAAACAUUGACCAGAUACAUACCAUUUUUAAAUAAUGUCUUGCUUUGAAAGGUGUGACAAUAUCAAUAUCAAAAUAUUGCAUUAUAAUGAUGCUUUAAAGAACCUUUCGGGCGAUUAAGUUGGCAGCAACAGCAUCAAUAUGCAAUGCAUAUAUCCAAAUUAACAUAUGAUUCUGACGUUCCUCAUCACAUCAAACAGACCUGGUGAAUCGCUUUCGUGGUACGUUAAGCAACGGAGAACGACAUGUGUUGGAGAACUGGAAAUUAUUAUGUACUAUUUUACAAUCACCUACUUUGAUCGUGAUGAAAAACAAGUAUCCCGCUAUGUUGUUGAAUUGUAACAAUACAUAAACAAUGUGUACACUAAUGCGAGGUGAAAAUGAUUUGAUUGCAAAACAAUUGGAAAUUCUGGUGAUGGUGAAAAUACCUAAUCACUAGGUAAUCAUUUUAUCGGAAGAGAGAUGUAUCUGUUCGCUUUUGUUUUCAAAACGAACUUAAUCGGAAAAGACAUAUUUCAAAUGACAAACGUACGACAA